ACGGAGAUGGAUGCUACAGAAUCUCAUGAGUCAAGAAAAGUGUACGUCGAGCACAUGAUAGACGUUGAAAUUAGCACAUUUUGAGCAAGCACGGGAAAUAAUGAUGUAAUGAAUUAGGUAGGGGGAAAGAAAAAUGAAACACAGCGUAAAGCACUCAUCAGACAAUAAGAAGCAAACAAGUUGCACCAGCGGGCACUGAUUUAAAAUGUAUAAGCGUAUGUUAUGGAAAUUAGAUUAGAACC
rnacentral:lncRNA from 1 species